rnacentral:rRNA from 1 species
UGCAGUCGAACGAUGACCCGGAGCUUGCUCUGGUGAUUAGUGGCGAACGGGUGAGUAACACGUGGGCAACCUGCCCCUAGCUCUGGGAUAACUGCGGGAAACUGUAGCUAAUACCGGAUGUGACAUGAGACUGCAUGGUCUUCGUGUGGAAAGAUUUAUCGGCUAGGGAUGGGCCCGCGGUCUAUCAGCUUGUUGGUGGGGUAAUGGCUCACCAAGGCGACGACGGAUAACCGGCCUGAGAGGGCGACCGGUCACACUGGGACUGAGACACGGCCCAGACUCCUACGGGAGGCAGCAGUGGGGAAUAUUGCACAAUGGGCGCAAGCCUGAUGCAGCGACGCCGCGUGAGGGAUGACGGCCUUCGGGUUGUAAACCUCUUUCAGUAGGGACGAAGCGAAAGUGACGGUACCUGCAGAAGAAGCGCCGGCCAACUACGUGCCAGCAGCCGCGGUAAUACGUAGGGCGCAAGCGUUGUCCGGAAUUAUUGGGCGUAAAGAGCUCGUAGGCGGUUUGUUACGUCGGCUGUGAAAUCCCGAGGCUUAACCUCGGGCUUGCAGUCGAUACGGGCAGACUAGAGUGGAGCAGGGGAGACUGGAAUUCCUGGUGUAGCGGUGAAAUGCGCAGAUAUCAGGAGGAACACCGAUGGCGAAGGCAGGUCUCUGGGCUUUAACUGACGCUGAGGAGCGAAAGCGUGNGUAGCGAACAGGAUUAGAUACCCUGGUAGUCCACGCCGUAAACGGUGGGCGCUAGGUGUGGGGACCAUUCCACGGUCUCCGUGCCGCAGCUAACGCAUUAAGCGCC